rnacentral:rRNA from 1 species
CCUACGGGAGGCAGCAGUGGGGAAUUUUGCGCAAUGCUCGCAAGAGUGACGCAGCGACGCCGCGUGAAUGACGAAGGCCUUCGGGUCGUAAAGCUCUUUCGACAGGGAAGAAAAUGCCUAUAAGUAACUGUGUAUGUAUUGACGGUACCUGUAUAAGCAGCCCCGGCUAACUCCGUGCCAGCAGCCGCGGUAAUACGGAGGGGGCGAGCGUUGUUCGGAGUGACUGGGCGUAAAGAGCACGUAGGCGGUGUUGUAAGUCAUUAGUCAAAGACUAGAGCUCAACUUUAGUAAGGCUAGUGAUACUAUAAUACUAGAGUAUCAGAGAGGAUUGCAGAAUUCCUGGUGUAGCGGUGAAAUGCGUAGAUAUCAGGAGGAAUACCGUUAGCGAAGGCGGCAAUCUGGCUGGAAACUGACGCUGAGGUGCGAAAGCGUGGGUAGCAAACAGGAUUAGAUACCCCAGUAGUC